rnacentral:rRNA from 1 species
GAACUUAAGCAUAUCAAUAAGCGCAGGAAAAGAAACCAACAGGGAUUACCUCAGUAACGGCGAGUGAAGCGGUAAUAGCUCAAAUUUGAAAUCUGGCCUCUUGGGGUCCGAGUUGUAAUUUGUAGAGGAUGUUUUGGGUACCGCCCCGGUCUAAAUUUCUUGGAACAGAAUGUCAAAGAGGGUGAGAAUCCCGUCUUGGACCGGCGGUAGGGCCUGUGUAAAACUCCUUCGACGAGUCGAGUUGUUUGGGAAUGCAGCUCAAAAUGGGUGGUAAAUUUCAUCUAAAGCUAAAUAUUGGCCAGAGACCGAUAGCGCACAAGUAGAGUGAUCGAAAGAUGAAAAGCACUUUGAAAAGAGAGUUAAACAGUAUGUGAAAUUGUUGAAAGGGAAGCGCUUGCAACCAGACUUGAGCGCGGCGGUUCCCCCGGUCUUUUGGCCGGGCUACUCCGUCGUGUCCAGGCCAACAUCGGUUCUGAGGGUCGGUCAAAGGCCUUGGGAAUGUAUCUACCCACGGGUAGACUUAUAGACCAGGGUGUCAUGCGGCCUCUCGGGACCGAGGAACGCGCUUCGGCUCGGAUGUUGGCGUAAUGGUUGUCAGCGACCCGUCUUGAAACACGGACCAAGGAGUCUAACAUCUAUGCGAGUGUUUGGGUGUCAAACCCGGAACGCGAAAUGAAAGUGAACGGAGGUAGGAAGCUUCGGCUGCACUAUCGACCGAUCCUGAAGUUUACGGAUGGAUUUGAGUAAGAGCAUAGCUGUUGGGACCCGAAA